UUGAACGCUGGCGGCAGGCCUAACACAUGCAAGUCGAGCGGUAGCACAGAGAGCUUGCUCUCGGGUGACGAGCGGCGGACGGGUGAGUAAUGUCUGGGAAACUGCCUGAUGGAGGGGGAUAACUACUGGAAACGGUAGCUAAUACCGCAUAACGUCGCAAGACCAAAGUGGGGGACCUUCGGGCCUCAUGCCAUCAGAUGUGCCCAGAUGGGAUUAGCUAGUAGGUGGGGUAACGGCUCACCUAGGCGACGAUCCCUAGCUGGUCUGAGAGGAUGACCAGCCACACUGGAACUGAGACACGGUCCAGACUCCUACGGGAGGCAGCAGUGGGGAAUAUUGCACAAUGGGCGCAAGCCUGAUGCAGCCAUGCCGCGUGUGUGAAGAAGGCCUUCGGGUUGUAAAGCACUUUCAGCGGGGAGGAAGGCGGUGAGGUUAAUAACCUCACCGAUUGACGUUACCCGCAGAAGAAGCACCGGCUAACUCCGUGCCAGCAGCCGCGGUAAUACGGAGGGUGCAAGCGUUAAUCGGAAUUACUGGGCGUAAAGCGCACGCAGGCGGUCUGUCAAGUCGGAUGUGAAAUCCCCGGGCUCAACCUGGGGACUGCAUUCGAAACUGGCAGGCUAGAGUCUUGUAGAGGGGGGUAGAAUUCCAGGUGUAGCGGUGAAAUGCGUAGAGAUCUGGAGGAAUACCGGUGGCGAAGGCGGCCCCCUGGACAAAGACUGACGCUCAGGUGCGAAAGCGUGGGGAGCAAACAGGAUUAGAUACCCUGGUAGUCCACGCCGUAAACGAUGUCGAUUUGGAGGUUGUGCCCUUGAGGCGUGGCUUCCGGAGCUAACGCGUUAAAUCGACCGCCUGGGGAGUACGGCCGCAAGGUUAAAACUCAAAUGAAUUGACGGGGGCCCGCACAAGCGGUGGAGCAUGUGGUUUAAUUCGAUGCAACGCGAAGAACCUUACCUGGUCUUGACAUCCACAGAACUUUCCAGAGAUGGAUUGGUGCCUUCGGGAACUGUGAGACAGGUGCUGCAUGGCUGUCGUCAGCUCGUGUUGUGAAAUGUUGGGUUAAGUCCCGCAACGAGCGCAACCCUUAUCCUUUGUUGCCAGCGGUUAGGCCGGGAACUCAAAGGAGACUGCCAGUGAUAAACUGGAGGAAGGUGGGGAUGACGUCAAGUCAUCAUGGCCCUUACGACCAGGGCUACACACGUGCUACAAUGGCAUAUACAAAGAGAAGCGACCUCGCGAGAGCAAGCGGACCUCAUAAAGUAUGUCGUAGUCCGGAUUGGAGUCUGCAACUCGACUCCAUGAAGUCGGAAUCGCUAGUAAUCGUAGAUCAGAAUGCUACGGUGAAUACGUUCCCGGGCCUUGUACACACCGCCCGUCACACCAUGGGAGUGGGUUGCAAAAGAAGUAGGUAGCUUAACCUUCGGGAGGGCGCUUACCACUUUGUGAUUCAUGACUGGGGUG
rnacentral:rRNA from 1 species